UACGGAGGGUGCGAGCGUUAAUCGGAUUUACUGGGCGUAAAGCGUGCGUAGGCGGCUUUUUAAGUCGGAUGUGAAAUCCCUGAGCUUAACUUAGGAAUUGCAUUCGAUACUGGGAAGCUAGAGUAUGGGAGAGGAUGGUAGAAUUCCAGGUGUAGCGGUGAAAUGCGUAGAGAUCUGGAGGAAUACCGAUGGCGAAGGCAGCCAUCUGGCCUAAUACUGACGCUGAGGUACGAAAGCAUGGGGAGCAAACAG
rnacentral:rRNA from 1 species